UACAGAGGGUGCGAGCGUUGUCCGGAAUCACUGGGCGUAAAGGGCGCGUAGGUGGCGACCCAAGUCUGUGGUGAAAGCUCGACGCUCAACGUCGAGUCGGCCAUAGAUACUGGGUUGCUUGAGCACUGUAGAGGCAGAUGGAAUUCCGGGUGUAGCGGUGGAAUGCGUAGAGAUCCGGAAGAACACCGGUGGCGAAGGCGGUCUGCUGGGCAGUUGCUGACACUGAGGCGCGACAGCGUGGGGAGCAAACAGG
rnacentral:rRNA from 3 species